UACGUAGGGUGCAAGCGUUUGUCCGGAAUUAUUGGGCGUAAAGAGCUCGUAGGCGGCCUGUCACGUCCGCUGUGAAAUCCCGGGGCUCAACCCCGGGCCUGCAGUGGAUACGGGCUGGCUGGAGGCAGGCAGGGGAGAACGGAAUUCCUGGUGUAGCGGUGAAAUGCGCAGAUAUCAGGAGGAACACCGGUGGCGAAGGCGGUUCUCUGGGCCUGUACUGACGCUGAGGAGCGAAAAGCGUGGGGAGCGAACAGG
rnacentral:rRNA from 1 species